UAUUUUCUUUUAGUCAUGGUUCAUGUUUUGAUGCGUGCUCCCAUAAACGUAUUUCUUUUUUUUUUUUUUUUUUUUCCUGAAAAUUCCAUACCUUUAUAAAAACCAAGGAACCUUGGAACAGAUACAAAGUGCCUCCUAUAAUGAGAUACACCUACAACAACAGAACAAACAAACCCAAAAAAACAAGAGCACAUUAUACAUCAAAUAGACCAAACCACGUCGCCAUAAAAGAGAUUCCAUGACGUCCCAGCUUCUGAGCUCUAGACAGAAGGUCCAAGUGAGUCCGAAUGAAGUUCUUUAUCUCCAUCACCAAAGAGGCAGC
rnacentral:sRNA from 1 species